UACGGAGGGUGCAGGCGUUGUCCGGAUUUAUUGGGUUUAAAGGGUCCGUAGGCGGGUCGAUAAGUCAGUGGUGAAAGCCCACAGCUCAACUGUGGAACUGCCAUUGAUACUGGUUAUCUUGAGUAUAGAUGAGGCAGGCGGAAUUUACGAUGUAGCGGUGAAAUGCAUAGAUAUCGUAAAGAACACCUAUAGCGAAGGCAGCUUGCUAAACUAUAACUGACGCUGAGGCACGAAAGCAUGGGUAGCGAGCAGG
rnacentral:misc_RNA from 1 species